rnacentral:rRNA from 1 species
UCGUAGGUCAGCAUACUACGGUGAAUACGUUCCCGGGCCUUGUACACACCGCCCGUCAAACCAUGAGAGUUGGCAACACCCGAAGUCGGUAGUCUAACCGCAAGGAGGACGCCGCCGAAGGUGGGGUUGAUGAUUAGGGUUAAGUCGUAACAAGGUAGC